rnacentral:rRNA from 1 species
GUAGCUUGCUACUUUUGCCGGCGAGCGGCCGUCGGGUGAGUAAUGCCUGGGAAAUUGCCCAGUCGAGGGGGAUAACAGUUGGAAACGACUGCUAAUACCGCAUACGCCCUACGGGGGAAAGCAGGGGACCUUCGGGCCUUGCGCGAUUGGAUAUGCCCAGGUGGGAUUAGCUAGUUGGUGAGGUAAUGGCUCACCAAGGCGACGAUCCCUAGCUGGUCUGAGAGGAUGAUCAGCCACAUCUGGAACUGAGACACGGUCCAGACUCCUACGGGAGGCAGCAGUGGGGAAUAUUGCACAAUGGGGGAAACCCUGAUGCAGCCAUGCCGCGUGUGUGAAGAAGGCCUUCGGGUUGUAAAGCACUUUCAGCGAGGAGGAAAGGUUGAUGCCUAAUACGUAUCAACUGUGACGUUACUCGCAGAAGAAGCACCGGCUAACCCCGUGCCAGCAGCCGCGGUAAUACGGAGGGUGCAAGCGUUAAUCGGAAAUUACUGG